UACGUAGGAGACGAGCGUUGUCCGGAGUUACUGGGCGUAAAGGGUGCGCAGGUGGCGGCGCGCGUGGGGGGUGAAAUCGCCCGGCUUAACUGGGCGGGGGCCUUCCAGACGGCGUGGCUUGAGCAGCGGAGGGGGACGUGGAAUUCCGGAGUGGAGCGGUGAAAUGCGUAGAGUAUCGUGAGGAACACCGGUGGCGAAGGCGGCUCUCGUCGGAC
rnacentral:rRNA from 1 species